UACGUAGGGCGCAAGCGUUAUCCGGAAUUAUUGGGCGUAAAGAGCUCGUAGGCGGUUUGUCGCGUCUGCCGUGAAAGUCCGGGGCUCAACUCCGGAUCUGCGGUGGGUACGGGCAGACUAGAGUGAUGUAGGGGAGACUGGAAUUCCUGGUGUAGCGGUGGAAUGCGCAGGUAUCAGGAGGAACACCGGUGGCGAAGGCGGGUCUCUGGGCAGUAACUGACGCUGAGGAGCGAAAGCGUGGGGAGCGAACAGG
rnacentral:rRNA from 1 species